AGUCUAGUCUGUGACCUGAGCCAUCAUGGUAGGGUGUCCAGGGUGAGGGGAGGGUGGUGUGAAUCCCCAGUAAUGCAGGUCCUUUCCAGGCCAGGCCCCUGGUCCCCAGGAGUGCGGGGAUGCCUGAGGUCUACUGCUGCCUUAUCCAGAGCUGCCAUCCCCGGCGAUGACUCAGAGUUCCUGUGGCCCCAGCAUCAUCCCUCCAUCCCUGGCUGUGAGGCAGGAGCAGAGUUGCAGACCUGAGAGGCCUUGAAUUUGUUUGAUAUAGGACUUUGCCACCAGACAAAGUGCUUUGCCUGUGAGGUCUGGCUUGGCCUGGCCUCUGAGAAAGAACAAACACAGACCUCACUGGAAGGAACCUGGAGAACGGGAGAGGAGAGGCUGCUGCUGUCUGCCCUCCCAGCAGCAGAUAUAAAGACAAUGGGCUUCUAAGUCCCCUAGAGUCCCAGCUGUGUAAUUUAAGGCGAGUUCAUCUCUCACAGCCUCAGUUUCCUCAUUUGCUGGCACCUGUCUUUCUCCUUCAUAGCCAUUGUCACUGUUGCAAUGAUAUCAACAAUGCUUACAUUUCAGAUAGAUCCCCAGCUGGGUUGAAAGGAACGUCAAGACCCUUCCUUUCUUAUGACCUAUGUAUCAACUCCCUUCUACCUUGCCUCCCUCCACUUGGAGCGAGUUCUAGUUGGUGAAAUGUAGCCAGAGGUUCCUGGAAAGGCUUUCCUUCUCAAGUAAAGCCUGGCUCAGAGAAAACCACUGGUCUCUUUCCUUUUCUUCCUCCUGACAUGAACAUGGGGCAGGAAGGAGCAUGGAGAAGACAAGAACAAGGCUCUCAGAAGGAAAUGGUGUGGCUGGAGCCAUGAGAACUGGUUGUGGAGGGGGUGAGGAAGGCAAAUAUAAUUUCUGACCUACGUAAUGAUGUAUGCACAAGAAGCCUCUCUUGAAUGUAUUAAUUCAGUAAACAGUUAUGGAGUCCUUACAAUGUGCUAGUGGGACUUUGAAGAUGAAUCCAAAUUUGGAUCCUGGCCUGGAAAGGCUCAAAGCCCAAUAUGGGAGGUAGAAAACCCAUCAUCACUGGGCAUUGUCUUCCAGUGAUUCUGAGCAGAAACAAAGGGGAACGUAUGUCUUCAUUGUGACUCAGCGAGCAAAGAGAUGGAGUCUUUUCCAAGAAGAAAGUGGGAGAUUUGGGACCACUGACAUAUUUGGCCCACUGAUUCCAUUCCCCUAGACCAACACGUGUUCAUCAAAUUGCAUCACUCUUAUGGGGAACUUAAUGCAACUCCGGUGCCCAUUGCAUUAGUUUUUGAUGAUGGAAUUCUCUUUGUGAACUUGAACUUGAGGGGUCUGGCUACCCCUCUGAGACUUCUUUUUUGAGAUAAAAUCAUAUAACAUAAAAUUCGCCCUUUU
rnacentral:lncRNA from 1 species